CUACGGGAGGCAGCAGUGGGGAAUAUUGCACAAUGGGCGAAAGCCUGAUGCAGCGACGCCGCGUGCGGGAUGACGGCCUUCGGGUUGUAAACCGCUUUCAGCAGGGAAGAAGCGCAAGUGACGGUACCUGCAGAAGAAGCACCGGCUAACUACGUGCCAGCAGCCGCGGUAAUACGUAGGGUGCGAGCGUUGUCCGGAAUUACUGGGCGUAAAGAGCUCGUAGGUGGUUUGUCGCGUUGUUCGUGAAAACUCACAGCUUAACUGUGGGCGUGCGGGCGAUACGGGCAGACUUGAGUACUGCAGGGGAGACUGGAAUUCCUGGUGUAGCGGUGAAAUGCGCAGAUAUCAGGAGGAACACCGGUGGCGAAGGCGGGUCUCUGGGCAGUAACUGACGCUGAGGAGCGAAAGCGUGGGUAGCGAACAGGAUUAGAAACCCGGGUAGUCC
rnacentral:rRNA from 1 species